rnacentral:rRNA from 1 species
UACGAAGGGGGCUAGCGUUGCUCGGAAUCACUGGGCGUAAAGGGUGCGUAGGCGGGUCUUUAAGUCAGGGGUGAAAUCCUGGAGCUCAACUCCAGAACUGCCUUGAUACUGAAGAUCUUGAGUUCGGGAGAGGUGAGUGGAACUGCGAGUGUAGAGGUGAAAUUCGUAGAUAUUCGCAAGAACACCAGUGGCGAAGGCGGCUCACUGGCCCGAUACUGACGCUGAGGCACGAAGCGUGGG